GCACGGACUUUAAUGCUCCCAUAAAGUAUAGUUCUGUAACUUAUUUUUAAGAUUUUUCUUUUUUGUAUAAAAAUUUGAAUGUUAUACUUUUAUUUGGAAAAAGAAAAUUUUAAAAAUAAGUUAUAGAGCUAUGUUUUAUAAGAGCAUUGAAGUGCGUGU
rnacentral:miRNA from 1 species